AGAGUUUGAUCAUGGCUCAGAUUGAACGCUGGCGGUAUGCCUAACACAUGCAAGUCGAACGAGGUAGCAAUACCUAGUGGCGGACGGGUGAGGAAUACGUAGGGAUCUGCCCUUAAGUGGGGGAUAACCCGGGGAAACCCGGAUUAAUACCGCAUGAUCUCGCAAGAGCAAAGAGGGGGACCGCAAGGCCUCUCGCUUUUGGAGGAACCUACGUCGGAUUAGCUAGUUGGUGAGGUAAUGGCUCACCAAGGCGACGAUCCGUAACUGGUCUGAGAGGAUGAUCGGUCACACCGGAACUGAGACACGGUCCGGACUCCUACGGGAGGCAGCAGUGGGGAAUAUUGGACAAUGGGCGAAAGCCUGAUCCAGCAAUACCGCGUGUGUGAAGAAGGCCUUCGGGUUGUAAAGCACUUUAAGUUGGGAAGAAAAAGCUUCACCUAAUACGUGAAGCCUUGACGGUACCGACAGAAUAAGCACCGGCUAACUCUGUGCCAGCAGCCGCGGUAAUACAGAGGGUGCUAGCGUUAAUCGGAUUUACUGGGCGUAAAGCGUGCGUAGGUGGUUUGAUAAGUCGACUGUGAAAGCCCCGGGCUUAACCUGGGAAUUGCGGUCGAUACUGUCAGACUCGAAAACGGUAGAGGGAGGUGGAACUCCAGGUGUAGCGGUGAAAUGCGUAGAUAUCUGGAAGAACACCGAUGGCGAAGGCAGCCUCCUGGGCCUGUUUUGACACUGAGGCACGAAAGCGUGGGUAGCAAACAGGAUUAGAUACCCUGGUAGUCC
rnacentral:rRNA from 1 species